rnacentral:lncRNA from 1 species
GUACGCUCACCACGCUGCACCUUGGUCUACUUCAUCCAACGGUCGUGACAUUGCUGAAUAUAAUGCAGGCCAAUGAAGACGUACCCAAGAGCUAAUCUAAGGAACGACUGAUUGACAUUUCACAAAUCAAACAGUUUUGUUAGCAAGAAUCCUAUUUAUGAUUUGUUUGUGUAUUUCCCCUCCCAACCCCUUCUCACAACCACAGGCUCCAUAAACAGCUGGAUCGAAAACUGUUUUGAUGAUCUGGAGCACAAAGGAUCUACAGAUGCUCCCACCAAAUCCAUCGGCAGAAGGCUGUCCAAGCCCCCCCCCUCCCUUUCUUCUGUCUCCUCAGGGCCCUUCUUGGAGUUCACAGCAAAGGACACAGGCACUCCAAGCCCAGAAUCACAUGUGGACUCCUGACCUCCCUCUUAUGAGGUCCCUUGGGCUUACCCAUGAAUCUUCUCCCCCGAAAGAGGAGCCAGGCCUCAGCCUGCUAAGCGACGACUUCAAGCGCCCACACCGCUCACCAAAGAAAUGCAGCAAAUUCUCUCAGUCCACAGCCAAGUGGGAGAGCAUUGUGGAGGUCCCUGAGAAAGUACAUGUACAAGUCUAUGACCCCACCCUCAUAGACCUCUACAAGUAAUCCAAGCCCGUAAGCAGUUGUACAGCCAGCUCCCCACCAUCAAGGCCCCCAGUGACUCUGGGUGAGCUCCAUGGGGAUGAGCAAGGAGGCUAGUCUGGUGCAGCUUCCAGACAGCUCACAACACUUCACACUGGAGCCCAUCAAGGGUAAGAGGGACUCCAACUGGAGGGAGAGCCUGUACAAGCUUGUAUCCCAAUAUGGCAUCCGCUCCACAAGGGCCAGACUGUCCGCUCUUGGCCCUCUGCAUGUCCCAGGGGCUGCCCAGCGCUACCACUGCACCCUGUCCCCUCUUCAGAUUACGAAGGCCAGCAAGGUGUCCCUGGGCCAGAGGGUGGUGCGGAAGAUCAUCAUUGGAAAGGCCCCCCUCCCAGUUCCACCAUGGGCUGCCCCUGCCCUGGCAGCUCAACAGCCACAUCAUGGACCCCUCUGGAGAGCAUGUAUGGGAGGCUGGAGGUGGAAUGGGUGAGGGAGCCAAUGGAGCCCCAGAGAGGGAAGGUGCAGGAAGUGAAGCUGCCCCGAUAAGGUCUAGGUGUCAUCCAUCCUAAUCACCAGGGGGCAGUGUGGGGCCAAGGUUCCAUUUAGGCAGUGUUAUGUUGUAUUGUCUCUGGAUAUCUGCGUGAUAAACAUCUACCAAAUUGUGAUGGAAU